UUUCUAGAACAGUUGGAUCUGAACAACGAUGAUUUUGCCGAUGUGGAGAUCGAUGAGGAUGAUCCUGAGAUUCAAGAAAGCGUCCGCCGGCUUGCCCUGGCUAGGGUUCAGACUAGCAGGAACUUUAGCCCAUCAGCCUUCUACAAGGAUAUGAGGGCGGCAUGGAACCCUGCUCAGGAAGUAAGAUUUCGGCUAGUUGGCCCUAAUCGUUUCGUCAUCCAAGCAUCUUGUUUGGGGGACUGGGAGCGCAUGAUGAAGCAAGGGCCUUGGCUCUUCCGCAACAUGGCGGUGCUCUUGUGCCCGUAUGAUGGCUUCAGCAAGACAGAGGUGGUGGAAUUCUUUCACAUCCCCAUCUGGUUGCAGAUUCGCAAGCUACCAGACCCUUAUUGCAAACAAAACAUCAUGGAGAAGCUGCUGAAAGAUGCUGGAGAAAUUAUGGAGAUGCGUUUGAACGGAAACACCCGUGGUGACUAUGUUAGGGUUCGGGUGCGGCAUGAUAUCCGUAAGCCCCUCACAAAGUACGUCAGUGUUGUUCGCGCAAAGGAGCGCCAGGUUUACCUGGUUCGAUAUGAGAAACUUGCUAGGUUCUGUAAGUUUUGCGGACUGAUUGGUCAUGAUCACAAAGAGUGCGGCCUGGGCAUCCAUGAGGAGAAGGAUCUCAAGUUUGGAGACUGGAUCUAUGCAGAUGCUCCCAAUAAGCCUAGACCAGAAUAUCGGUCUACUACAGCAACAGGAUACGAGCCUAAGAAGGCCGAUGAUAAGGCGACAGGUAGAUCAGAACCGCAAUAUGCUCCAUAUGAUGCCGAAGUGAUGGACAUAGCAACGAGCCCGGUCAAGAAAACUAGUGACAAAACUGUUGGCGUUCUUGUUCCAAAGAGGAGGCUGUAUUUGGAGGAGGCCGGAAAGCCACUGGGAGAUGUUCCUGGUGUUGGGGAACGUUGCAGAAAAUAA
rnacentral:rRNA from 1 species